rnacentral:rRNA from 1 species
UCAGGACGAACGGCUGGCGGCGUGCCUAAUACAUGCAAGUCGAACGGUCUUUCUAUGGAAGCUUGCUUCCACUGAGAAGAUAGUGGCGAACGGGUGAGUAACACGUGGGUAACCUGCCCAUAAGAGGGGGGAUAACAUCCGGAAACGGGUGCUAAUACCGCAUAGUUUUCUUGAUCGCAUGAUUGAGAAAGGAAAGACGGCCUUUGUGCUGUCGCUUAUGGAUGGACCCGCGGCGUAUUAGUUAGUUGGUGAGGUAACGGCUCACCAAGACGAUGAUACGUAGCCGACCUGAGAGGGUGAUCGGCCACAUUGGGACUGAGACACGGCCCAAACUCCUACGGGAGGCAGCAGUAGGGAAUCUUCCGCAAUGGACGAAAGUCUGACGGAGCAACGCCGCGUGAGUGAAAGAAGGUUUUCGGAUCGUAAAACUCUGUUGUCAGAGAAGAACAAGUUGGAGAGUAACUGCUCCAGCCUUGACGGUAUCUGACCAGAAAGCCACGGCUAACUACGUGCCAGCCGCCGC